UUGACCUUGAAGUGGUGUGAAUGGGCCUUGCUUUGUGCUAGGCUCAGGAAAGUCCCCGGGCCCAAUCUGCAGAAAUGCAGGCCUGGAAACGGGAUUAUCUUUGAGUUAGGACUGGAAACGGGAUUAUUCACACGGUCUUUUUAUGAGACUAACAGAACGGGGCUUAUGCUUCAAGGUUCA
rnacentral:SRP_RNA from 1 species